rnacentral:lncRNA from 1 species
UGGUUUUUAACCUUAUGGUCCACUUAGCCUACAACAAGUCACAGUAAAACAUGAACAUUUUUAACCAUAACAUUUUAUACAUUUUUUUUGUAUAAAAUCUAAAUGGACCAAAAAGAGACAAUAAAAUAAACUGUCAAUGGCAAUGUGAGAAAAUUAUGGUAACUAAUCUGGCCCAAAUUCAGGUAUUUUUUUUAAAUGUAAACCAGGGCGGGAUAAGCCAGCGGGGGCUUCCAGCAUGCGCGAUUCAUUUGCAGUCUGGACGCAGAGGGAUGAGCAUCUCCUGCUCUGACUGCAGCUGGGAGGGACUGCUGUGCGAGGACUGGGCUGCCUGUGAGUGCUUUGGGAUAGGCUGCUCGUUGAGAAGAGCAGAGCAGGCAACAGAUGGCACAGACAGCAGAGUUGGGGACAGAUGCAGGGACAGACUGGCAGAGACAGGAAGUCUCAGCUCUGGGGAACAGGGGAAGGAGCCUCCAGGACCCAGGCCACUGCCACUGCUUGGUAACAUGCUCCAGCUGGACCUCAAGAAGCCCUACUGCACUCUCUGCGAGGAUACAAGACGGUCAAGCAGGCGCUGGUGAAUCAGGACUUUGGGGACCGGGACAUCACUCCUGUGCUCAGUGAACUAAACCAAGGACAUGGGAUUCUGUUUUCCAAUGGAGACUCAUGGAAAGAGAGGCUCUUUGCCCUGACAAACCUUAGACUUUGGGAUGGGCAAGAAACUGAGCAAGGAGAAAAUCUUAGAGGAAAUUCACUACCUGACUGAAGUGUAUGAAAAACCUGAGGGUAAGGCAUUUGACACCGCCCAGCCUAUGAUUUAUGCCGUCUUCAACAUAAUCUCGGCCAUUGUCUAUGGCAGAAGGUUUGAAUACACUUACCAGAAUUUGCAUCUCAUGCAUAUUUAAUAACGUGUUGAAUUAAUAUUGCUCAGUAUAACUAUAGAAUCGAAUUAAUCGAUAAGGUUCGAGGGGCUGUGGUAUAUUGGCCAUAUACCACAAACCCAAAGGUGCCUUGUUGGUACUAUAAACUGUUAACCAACAUAAUUAGAACGGUAAACUAGUAAUUUUGCAUCAUACCGGCCAAUCAGCAUCCAGGAUCCAAAAAAGAAAAGAAAACCAGCCCUGUCGCAGACCACGAUGUCUUACUCCCAGACAAACGAAAUAACUUAUUUUCUCGCUUUGAGGACAAUACAGUGCCACCGACACGGCCCGCUACCAAAACCUGCGGGCUCUCCUUCACUGCAGCCAACGUGAGUAAAACAUUAAAACGUGUUAACCCUCACAAGGCUGCCGGCCCAGAUGGCAUCCCUAGCCGCGUCCUCAGAGCAUGCGCAGACCAGCUGGCUGGAGUGAGUACGGACAUAUUCAACCCUUAUCCCAGUCUACUGUUCCCACAUGCUUCAAGAGGGCGACCACUGUUCCUGUUCCCAAGAAAGCUAAGGUAAUUGAGCUAAAUGACUAUCACCCCGUAGCACUCAAUUCCGUCAUCACGAAGUGCUUUGAGAGGCUAGUCAAGGACCAUAUCACCUCCACCCUACCUGACGCCCUAGACCCACUCCAAUUUGCUUACCACACCAAUAGGUCCACAGACGAUGCAAUCGCAAUCACACUGCACACUGCCCUAACCCAUCUGGACAAGAGGAAUACCUAUGUAAGAAUGCUGUUCAUCGACUACAGCUCAGCAUUUAACACCAUAGUACCCUCCAAACUUGUCAAUAAGCUCGAGACCCUGGGUCUCGACCCCGCCCUGUGCAACUGGGUCCUGGACUUCCUGACGGGCCGCCCCCAGGUGGUGAGGGUAGGAAACAUCUCCACCCCGCUGAUCCUCAACACUGGGGCCCCACGAGGGUGUGUUCUCAGCCCUCUCCUGUACUCCCUGUUCACCCAUGACUGAGUGACCAUGCACGCCUCCAACUCAAUCAUCAAGUUUGCAGACAGUGGUAGGCUUGAUUACCAACAACGCCGAGACGGCCUACAGGGAGGAGGUGAGGGCCGGGGUCAGGAAAAUAACCUCAUACGCAAUGUCAACAAACUAAGGAGAAGAUCAUGGACUUCAGGAAACAGCAGAGGGAGCAGCCCCCUAUCUACAUUGACAGGACAGUAGUGGAGAAGGUGGAAAGUUCCUCGGCGUACACAUCAUGGACAAACUGAAAUGGUCCACCCACACAGACAGCGUGGUGAAGAAGGCGCAGUAGCGCCUCUUCAACCUCAGGAGCCUGAAGAAAUUCGGCUUGUCACCAAAAACACUCAAACUUUUACAGAUGCACAAUCGAGAUGCACAUUGAGGUCUGCACAACGCAUCACUGGGGGCAAACUAAUUGCCCUCCAGGACACCUACACCACCCGAUGUCACAGGAAGGCCAUAAAGAUCAUCAAGGACAACAACCACCCGAGCCACUGCCUGUUCACCCCGCUAUCAUCCAGAAGGCGAGUUACUACCCUGUUUGGUGCUGGUACCGACACCACCGGGACAACCCUGCGCUGGGGUCUGCUGCUGAUGGCCAGGUACCCCCAUAUACAGGGUAAGGAUUGAUGUAAACACAAACGCAUGCACGCACACUCACCACAGGCUGCUGAGGGGAGGACGGCUCAUAAUAAUGGCUGGAAUGGAGUGGUACCGACACCACCGGGACAACCCUGCGCUGGGGUCUGCUGCUGAUGGCCAAGUACCCCCAUAUACAGGGAAAUGGAUUCCUGAAAUGCUCUACAAGCAGCUGAUUGGUCAGCCCCAUUGAUGAUUGGAUAGCUGACCCCGCCCCCUCGUCAGGACGCAGCUGUCUCCAAUUACCAACUCCUUCUGAAGCUUUAUAAGCCAGUGUUCUGUUCCUCAGAAGGGAGAUGAUUGCUGAGAGAGAGAGGAGGCUGAUGGCUAUUAUGUUGGUUGUUGCUGGGGAGCUGAUUGGUAAAUUCUUUGUUGUUCAGAGUUUGGUUAAGUAUUGUGUAGGAGCUGAUUGGUUAUGUCUGUUGUGUCAAUAGGACGAAGUGUUUUGAUUAUUGAAAUUGUUUGAGUUAUUCUGUUGCAUUUGUUCCCAGGGGGGAAGGGGAAGGCACCUAGGGAGUGCUUAGGCAAGAGACCCACGGGCAUACAUAACCUGUAGUAUUUACUGUCUAUGCACACUAGGAAAGAUCUGGGUGGACCAUCCCCUGUAUUUUGGUUAGUGCACCAAGUGGUGUUAGUUAGGUAAGUAGUGGGUAGGCAGGUAAGGUGUGGGGGGGGCUUUGAUAUUUAAUUUCUUUGCUUUGGUUCCGUCCAGCCCAUUCCCAAAAAUUACCGUGCGACAGAAUAAAUUCCCUCUAAAUGGUAAUUCUCUGCCUUUUGUCAUCCUUACUCACACCUACAGUCCAUACCUCUUUCACACCACGGAGAGUUGAGUUGUAGCAGGGUGUUGCGUUACCUCUUCCUAGAGGCGUGCGUAACAGAGAGAAGUGGCUUCUUU